rnacentral:rRNA from 1 species
GUUAAGCGACUAAGCGUACACGGUGGAUGCCCUGGCAGUCAGAGGCGAUGAAGGGCGUGCUAAUCUGCGAUAAGCGCCGGUAAGGUGAUAUGAACCGUUAUAACCGGCGAUACCCGAAUGGGGAAACCCAGUGUGAUUCGUCACACUAUCAUUAACUGAAUCCAUAGGUUAAUGAGGCGAACCGGGGGAACUGAAACAUCUAAGUACCCCGAGGAAAAGAAAUCAACCGAGAUUCCCCCAGUAGCGGCGAGCGAACGGGGAGGAGCCCAGAGCCUGAAUCAGCAUGUGUGUUAGUGGAAGCGUCUGGAAAGGCGCGCGAUACAGGGUGACAGCCCCGUACACAAAAGCGCAUGUGCUGUGAGCUCGAUGAGUAGGGCGGGACACGUGGUAUCCUGUCUGAAUAUGGGGGGACCAUCCUCCAAGGCUAAAUACUCCUGACUGACCGAUAGUGAACCAGUACCGUGAGGGAAAGGCGAAAAGAACCCCGGCGAGGGGAGUGAAAAAGAACCUGAAACCGUGUACGUACAAGCAGUGGGAGCACAGGUUUACCUGUGUGACUGCGUACCUUUUGUAUAAUGGGUCAGCGACUUAUAUUCUGUAGCA